GUAGGUGGCAAGCGUUGUCCGGGAAUUAUUGGGGCGUAAAGCGCGCGCAGGCGGUUCUUUAAGUCUGAUGUGAAAGCCCACGGGCUCAACCGUGGAGGGUCAUUGGCAACUGGAGAACUUGAGUACAGAAGAGGAAAGCGGAAUUCCACGUGUAGCGGUGAAAUGCGUAGAGAUGUGGAGGAACACCAGUGGCGAAGGCGGCUUUCUGGUCUGUAACUGACGCUGAGGCGCGAAAGCGUGGGGAGCAACCAGGAUUAGAUACCCUGGUAGUCCACGCCGUAAACGAUGAGUGCUAAGUGUUAGGGGGUUUCCGCCCCUUAGUGCUGCAGCUAACGCAUUAAGCACUCCGCCUGGGGAGUACGGCCGCAAAGGCUG
rnacentral:rRNA from 1 species